GUUCAUUCUUAAACAUAUAAUAAAAUUGAAACAAUACAGAGAAUAUUGGCAUGGGCCCUGCGCGAGGAUGAACGCAAAUUCGUGAAGCGUUCAUCCUCGAU
rnacentral:snRNA from 1 species